UGGGAGUAGAUUGUACCAGAAGCGGCUAGCCUAACCUUCGGGAGGGCGGUUACCACGGUAUGGUUUAUGACUGGGGUGAAGUCGUAACAAGGUAGCCGUAGGGGAACCUGCGGCUGGAUCACCUCCUUUAAAGAAAAGGGUCUAGACCCCACACACGCCACUCGGUAAGGAAUUGGGCCUAUAGCUCAGCUGGCUAGAGCACACGACUGAUAAUCGUGAGGUCAGUGGUUCGAGUCCACUUGGGCCCACCAAAUGGGGCUGUAGCUCAGUUGGGAGAGCACCUGCUUUGCAAGCAGGGGGUCACCGGUUCGAGACCGGUCAGCUCCACCACAGGGAGAGAAGGCCCGCAAAGAGCGCGGGCUGGUCGCUGAGGGGGGAGGUAGAGGGGGUAGGGUUAUAUUUUUAGUGUGUAGUGCUGAAUAUCAUUUUCAAGGGUCGUUGGGAUUGAAAGGGAUAUUGAUCACUGCUCAUGCGUUAAGGGUGAGCUAGUUUGUUCUUUAAUAGUUGAGGAAGGGAGGCCAUGUUUGUCAUCUUGUCGAUGGCAGA
rnacentral:rRNA from 1 species